ACCACAGAAGGUAAUAGUCCUGUAUGUUAAACGAGAAGACUUCAGAUAUGAUCCAGAGUACCACGGGACACGUGAAACCCUGUGGGAAGCAGGAGGGACCACCCUCCAAGGCUAAAUACUACCUAGUGACCGAUAGCGUAUAGUACCGGGAGGGAAAGGUGAAAAGAACCCCGGGAGGGGAGUGAAAUAGAACCUGAAACCCUGCACUUACAAGCUGUGGAAGCACAUUUCUUGUGUGACCGCGUACUUUUUGUAGAACGGGCCAACGAGUUACGUUAAGUAGCAAGGUUAAGCACUUAAGGUGCGGAGCCGUAGCGAAAGCGAGUUUUAAC
rnacentral:rRNA from 1 species